AUGCUUUUUAUCGCAAGUGAAAGUACUGUACGUGUCUUCACAACGUGCAGACUGACUAGGGCAAGAGACUGGACAGGACAAUCAGCAGAGCUGAGCUCACUGUUAAUUCCUGCUAAUUACAGAAAAAUAACGUUCCCACAUGAAGUUAAACACAUUCAUUUCUGGACAUCUGGAAACGAACCCGGGUACUGCACAUUUUAUAAGACGCAUGAUGGGUCUCUGCAGAAAAACGAGAGUCAUUUCAUAACCCAAACGGCAAUUCUGCUACUUUCAAAUAAAACAAAUUUGGCAACCGAGUAAAAAGAUUAAAGAUGAUAUCGCACGAGAUUUCUCCGUCAGCUUCCUAAAUCGUCAGUUUUCAAAAUCUCCGUAACAACUGCGCUUCCGCAAAUACUCAUUUUAUUACUUAUUAGCUUGGUUCUACCACAGCGUAGAAGGACCUAUGUAAUACCAAGUGCUGCCGUAUGCCAUUGUAAACUCCGUGUUGCCUGAACUGACAUUCACUACGUCGGCUGCAUAGCAUAUGCCCUUGGCCAAUAGAUCUAUUUUUACGCAAACACAUCAGCCGCUUUCGCUAGUGAUGGAGCAGACAGCAUCACAAUCGAAGACAGCAAGAAAUGGUACUGUCGUACAAAGGUUGUCAGGAACGGUGCGGUUUAAAAACGUCCAUCUGCUAAACAAGUGGCCAGUGGGGAUAAACACAGAAGGCGUAGCGUAAGCGAACAAGAAAUCAGAUCUAUACAUAACCCAGACAAGCAGGCCUUUCUCAAGAUAGCGAAAGACCGGAGAGGAGGGGGGAGGUUGGGGGUGAGUCACUCGUUAAUGACCACAACCAUUGUUCAGGACAGAGGAAUACAAGGGAAUCGAACAUGUCGGUUUAUUUCAAACUGCUCCAGCUUAUAUAAUAUUUCCCUCCUUUUCUGUCAGUUUCCAGCGACAGAACCAUAGGCUAUACCUUAGUUGAACGUGUUGACAGAAUGUUCUAACGAUGACUAGAAUCACCUAUUAAUUAUUUCCAGAAGGCCUAUUUGGUACUGGACGACCAUGCAAACGAGGUGGUUGCUGAAGCGUGGAAAGAUUAAAUGCAUGCCCCGAAAUUACAAUGAAGCAGUUUAGAGGAAUUGCCAAAUUUCACUUCAAUUCAUACAGCAAAGGCUAUACGCCGUGACAAGAUUCACGUCACACGAACUGCAUAAUCCAGCGUUAAAACCUCCCUGCCUGAACUCGAAAUUAUAUCACUGAAGCUACAGCGUUUCCACUAGCCUCUUGAAACAGCAGAAUCCGUUCAAUGCAGUACGGCCAAGCGCGUUAAAGCACAGGGAGCAGAUGAGAAAAUGAGGACAACGUAAAUCUGUAGAACAGCCAUAAAAAAGAAUUGUGAAGUGAUGCAUGAAAUAUAAA